rnacentral:lncRNA from 1 species
CUUUGUUGUAUUAUCUCAUUUAUUUCUCACCAUUCAGGAACUGGGUUUAGAGAGGCUAAAUAAUUGACCCAUGAUUAAUACUGGUGAUGAUGAUGUUUACGACUGAAUACUUAUUGUAUGCCCAGCCCUGUACUGAGUCCUUUAUAUACAUGAUCUCCAUUUAAGCUUCACCACAAGACUCUGAGGUAUUAUUUUCCUUUUACAGAUAAACUAAGGCUCACAGAGAUCAUGAAAUUUGCAGUUAGUGAAUGGUGCUGUUGCAAUUUGAUCUCAGUGGUUUUCAAGGUGUGGUCUCCAGAUCAGCAACCUCAGCAUCACCUGGGAACUUGAUGGAAAUGCCCACCUUCAAUCCACUGAAUCAGAUUCUGUGUGUCAGGCCUCUAGCCCAAGCUAAGCCAUCAUAUCCCCUGUGACCUGCACGUAUACAUCCAGAUGGCCUGAAGCAACUGAAGAUCCACAAAAGUGAAAAUAGCCUUAACUGAUGACAUUCCACCACUGUGAUUUGUUUCUGCCCCACCCUAACUGAUCAAUGUACUUUGUAAUUCUCCUUACCCUUGAGAAUGUACUUUGUGAGAUCCACCCGCUGCCCGCAAAACACUGCUCCUAACUCCACCGCCUAUCCGAAAAUCUAUAAGAACUAAUGAUAAUCCCACCACCCUUUCCUGACUCUCUUUUCGGACUCAGCCCGCCGGCACCCAGGUAAAAUAAACAGCCUUAUUG